AUGGCUGCGGAGGCAGCGGCUCGCGGUCGAGGCCGCGGCGGGAGAGUUGCACGGGUUCCGCCCCCGCUUGAGGCGGCGGCGGAAGCAGGCGGCGGCGCUGUUGUCGCCGUCGGGCACGGAGCGGGAGGUGUGGGCCUACGGGUCGCAGGGCUUGGUGCGGGUGGCCUGGGACAUGGCGCUGGCGGACUCCGACCUAGAGGUGUAGGCGUGCAGGGAGUUCUUGGUGCGGGCGCUCUCGGUGCCGGUGAGGCGGCGGAAGCAGGCGGCGGCGGCCAUGGAGCAGGUGCAGGGGCGGUAGGCCCAGGUGGCGCCGCUCUUGGCAGGGUUGGCCUUGCACGUGGUGGCGGUCCGUUGGUGGCGGAGGCGGCGGGAAAUGGCGCUGGUCGCGGGGCAGGUGGCCUUGGCGGCGGAGGUGACGCGCCUAGAGCUGUCCGCCGUGACGACGCCGACAACCCUCUGCCGUACUGGCUCUUGGGAAAUGAUAACCACGGGGCCGACUCCAAGAAGCCUCCCCUGCUUCGUCCUAUGGGGCUUUCCAAGAUCAAUCCCAAGGAGCUACAUGUGUACGGGCUUACAGUUGAAUAUCGGACUGGUGAUACAGAAACGGAUCAAAUGAACGAGCGACUGGUAGCACUAUACAAUACCCUCGGAGACAAAAGAGUAGAACUAUAUGAGAAGGCUUCUGAUGAUACACCGUCACGAAAAGACCAUCUUGACUACAGAAAGGAGAAGGAACAUCUGAUGAGGAUGAUUGGGGAUCUCCAAGAGGCCAUCAAGGACCGCGACGCAAAGCUGUACCCCUUCCCCAAGAUUUUUGCCACUGAUCCUCCUAUCUAG
rnacentral:rRNA from 1 species